ensembl:lncRNA
GGACACACGAGCAGAGAGUGAGGGAUGAGGUAUGAAGAAAAAAGAAUGGAUAGUGGCAGCUGGCAAGUGAUACGCCUAAAGCCCAGGAUUUAACAAUAAUCCACUCGGACAUCCAAUAACUCUACUGUGUUGCUAGAGGCCACGGUGUGGCGUCAGUCAUGGAUAGGUCAGUAUGGUCUAAGCCAGCUGAAAUUGACUCUGUCUCUCAAAUCUGUAAACACAUUUCACUGAAGUCAUCUACAGCCCGAGGAACCGACUGAAGCCUCUUAACACACACUCACACUCUCACAAUCUGGUUUGGUUACACAAGAAAU